rnacentral:rRNA from 1 species
AUGGCCAAGAAGAAGUUUAAGCAUCGCCCGCCCGCGGACAUCAUAUCCUACAAUACUCUCCUCGCUGGGUUCUCUGAGCAGGACGAUGCCGAGGAGUUUGAGAAGCUGCUCAAGGAAAUCAAUGAGAACAAGCUGGAGCCAAACGUCGUCACGUACAAUUGCCGGAUGCGGUGGUUUGCAAGGAAGGGGGAAACCUUCAAGGGCGAGGAGCUGCUCGAUGUGAUGGAGUCAAAAGGCGUGCUGCCCAAUUACGUUACUUACAAUGCGCUUGUGCAGGGGUACUGCAAGGAGGGGAAUGUCGGGGCCGCCAUGCGAGUAUUCAAGAGGAUGAAGGUGAUGAAGAGGCGGGAGGGGAGGAGUGACUUGGGAGUGUCGGUGCACUCGCAGACAUAUGUCCUGCUGUUUAAGAGUUUGGUCGAGAAGGAAAGGCUUGAUGAUGCACUGUGGCUUUGUAACAGCUGCUUUGCAAUGAAGGCAGCCCCAUCAUUUGAGGCUGUCAAGGGUUUAGUCGAGGGGUUGGUGAAGGGAGGGAGGUCUGCAGAGGCGAAGGGUGUUGUUGCCAAGAUGAACUUUCUUGUGAAAGGGGAUGCUAAAGUUGCUUGGGAGAAGAUUGCUGGUGAAUUAUCUCUUGAAGAGGGAGCACCAAGUUCAGAUCCAUGA